AUAAUAUACAAAGCAUUUUAUAUCCCCUUAUAAAUAUGACAUGUUCAACUAUUCUGCAAAGAGGGACUAUGGAAACCCCUAGAAAUGUCACUUAAGGAGAAUCUGGGGGCAUUAAGGAAUAAUUAUUUGAAGGUAAGAAAGCUAUGAACCUGGAACAAGAAUCAUGGAGAGAAGCAAUAUGCAAUUUUGUGAAUUAUGAAUUUAAGUUCAUAAAGGGACCUGGGAUUGGGACCCUGUGGGAAGCCCUGAAGAAGAAAGACCAGGAAAAUUGGUGAGAAGAAUCAUUUUAGUCUGAAUGAACCAGGACAAGGUACCACAGGGCUUUAACCAGUCAUGCUGACCACACAGAAUGGUGCUUAACUCAGUGCCCUCUUGAAUACAGAAGGAAAAAGGGCAGGCUUAAAUUAAGGCUGUGCCCAGGCAUCAAUGAGGUUAUGCAUAUAAUCCCAAGAGUAGUCUAUGUGAAAGCUUAUGUGCUCUAUGCUGCUUUUCUACAUCAGAAAGGUGGAAAUUCUCCCUCUCUGUUGUAUCCCUCACAGAAUGACAUGAUUGUUCUGAUAGCUUAAUGAAAAGUGUGAUCCUGGCUAGGCAAACUUCUCAUUUGCUUAGUUCAAUGCUGGAUAUAAAGAAGAUGAAUGUGGCCUCAGGCAUCUA
rnacentral:lncRNA from 1 species